GCCCCGGUCCCCCUGGGCCCGCGGCGCCGGGGGAGCGCUGGGGAGCGCUCGCGGGGACUCGGCAGCCCCUCCGGCCGGCGCCAGCCUGCCAGGUGAACUGGGAAGCAGCCGCUCUUGGAGUCCCCCCAGAGCCUCGGAAGGGUCAAUCUCCGAGAAAAAAACAGGCAGCCCGCAGAAAACCCAGAAACAACCGAACCGCGGCAGUUUUACAUUGCUUUGGGUUUUUUGAGGGGGCGGGGUAAGGGGGUACGAGACAAGUCCCCAAGUUUUCUUUGCUUUUUCUUUUUCUUUCUUUUUUUUUAUUUGUUUGCAUUUUUUUUUUCUUUCUCCCCUUCUGGUGGAAGUGCGCGUUCCACCUACCAGACCCUGAAAGAAAGUGUCAGGAGCCGGUGCAAAAUCCGGUUUAAGUUCAAGAAGACAUUUAGAAGUCCAAGAGGCCAAGCAGUUUGAAGAAGUGUAACAGAUUUUUUUUCCUUCGAAAGAAUAUAUAUUUUACAGAGACCAGCCGGUCCGCGGCAAGCUACAGUUCUUCUUCUUCUUCUUUUUUUUUUUUUGCCUCUUUUUCUCAUUUUAGAUCGAGAGGUCUUUCUUGUUUUAUUAUUUUCUUUUUCUUUUUGCAAAC
rnacentral:lncRNA from 1 species